rnacentral:rRNA from 1 species
GAUGAACGCUGGCGGCGUGCUUAACACAUGCAAGUCGAACGGAAAGGCCCAAGCUUGCUUGGGUACUCGAGUGGCGAACGGGUGAGUAACACGUGGGUGAUCUGCCCUGCACUUCGGGAUAAGCCUGGGAAACUGGGUCUAAUACCGGAUAGGACCACAUUUUGGAUGGUGUGGUGGAAAGUUUUUCGGUGUGGGAUGAGCUCGCGGCCUGUCAGCUCGUUGGUGGGGUAAUGGCCUACCAAGGCGUCGACGGGUAGCCGGCCUGAGAGGGUGUACGGCCACAUUGGGACUGAGAUACGGCCCAGACUCCUACGGGAGGCAGCAGUGGGGAAUAUUGCACAAUGGGCGCAAGCCUGAUGCAGCGACGCCGCGUGGGGGAUGACGGCCUUCGGGUUGUAAACUCCUUUCGCUAGGGACGAAGCGCAAGUGACGGUACCUGGAGAAGAAGCACCGGCUAACUACGUG